rnacentral:rRNA from 1 species
UACGUAGGUGGCGAGCGUUGUCCGGAUUUAUUGGGUUUAAAGGGUGCGUAGGCGGUCCUAUAAGUCAGUGGUGAAGUAUCGCAGCUCAACUGUGAGGGUGCCAUUGAUACUGUAGGACUUGAGUGAAUUUGAGGUAGGCGGAAUUGACGGUGUAGCGGUGAAAUGCUUAGAUAUCGUCAAGAACACCGAUAGUGAAGACAGCUUACCAAGCUUCAACUGACGCUGAGGCACGAAAGUGUGGGGAUCAAACAGG